GAAUAAUCCUUUUUUCUGCAAACUGAAAAAGAACAUACUUUCUGUGCUGCAUGUCUGCUGUGAAACCAGAAGUGAAGCCCUUUCCAGGAUUAUUUCCUUUUCAGUCCUAUUUCAGCAAAUAGCUUUGGUGUACAGUAAAUCGACCCCUUUGGCUGAGUUGUUAAUCAAGUAUUUUGUAAUUAGGCAGGAUUCCUUUGUUCCUGAUCGUGACUUAGCAAAAUUGGGUUUGUGUUAAACCUCUGCCUGAUGCCACCACUGAAAGCAGACACGCCACUUUCCGUUUGGAAAGUGAAACUGGACUCACUGUGCUGAUUCCCUCAAAUAUUUAUUUGACGUGGUUUUACUGUGAACAUGCAGGGGCAGCACACAGCACUGCUAGAGGAAAAUGUGCUCCUUUGAAAUAUGUACCUUUAAAAUGUAUAUUCUCCUACCAGGGGUCACCUGCCUGGGGAUUCCUGGCACUGAAAAUAAGGACUCAGAUAACUCCUAAAAUAAUUGUCACAGCUGUGCAUGGACUAUAAAACAGCUUCACCAACAGCAAAUGAGCUGGUUCUUCUCCAGAAACAUCUGAUGGUGACCUGAUCCCUUUGUUCACCAAUCCCAGAGGUGUAACUUCCACUGCCCUUUUCCAGCCCAGAAGGGCAGCAGUGGAACAGGAUGAUCAGCAGCAGUGGGAAAAUGUCAGGACACGUGGAUCUGAUAGGAACCAGCAGCAAAUCACCACCUCUCACUGGCUGUGGCAGCCUCAGCUCUGGGGAUUUCCCUUACCUGAGAAGGAACAGGAUGUGGAGCCAAAAAGCAAAACUUUGCAUCCUCAGGAGCAGCAGCACAAUGGAGCAAUUCCUGGCACUCCCAAAGCUCCAGCUGAAAUCCAAGUGUCUGACAGGCUUGAGGGAACCCAGACCAGCUCGUGGAGCUUUGUUGGUGCUGAGAUCCUGCACUGUGGAGAUGCUCUGAUCAUUUUCAUGCAGAAAAAACUAUCCAUUGGGUGCAGCAAUGUGAACCUUUCACUGGCCACUCUCCCUGGAUAUCUACUCUUUUGGAAACACCAACCUCAGACUAAAAUGUGGAGUUUUUAUACAUUAAAAGGACCUAACAGAGGGCAGAUGGCUCCAGGACUCAUUGCUGGGUUUUGCAGUACAAACUGUCCACUCCUAUAGACCAAUUUCAAUGUUUUUUCCCUUCUCCUGCCCAUAUUAAGCAUCUAAUUAUCCACUGUUGGUUAGGAUCAUAAUUUAUUUAUCUUUCCUUUGCUGCAAAGAUGUAUGCUUGAACCAUGAGCAGAGUAUGAUUUCACUUAACAACUGUGGUUAAGCAACAAUCUUCAAGUUAGGUAAUUGUUAUUCAUUCUUUACGGGAUGAAAUGGGUAAAAUGGUCUGAGAAAUGUACCCUUUGCUGUGCUCCAAAAUAAGAAAUAUCUCAGAAUAAAUAUCAAAGUCCAAAAUCUGGGAUGAAUUAG
rnacentral:lncRNA from 1 species